GGUCCUGGCUCAGUGGUAGAGCACCUGCUCUGCAUGCAGAAGGUCCCAGGUUCAGUCCCUGGCAUCUCCA